rnacentral:rRNA from 1 species
UACGACGGGUGCAAGCGUUAAUCGGAAUUACUGGGCGUAAAGCGUGCGUAGGUGGUUUGUUAAGUCUGCUGUGAAAGCCCUGGGCUCAACCUGGGAAUGGCGGUGGAUACUGACAAGCUAGAGUGCGGUAGAGGAGGGUGGAAUUCCCGGUGUAGCGGUGAAAUGCGCAGAUAUCAGGAAGAACACCCGUGGCGAAGGCGGUUCUCUGGGACGGUACUGACGCUGAGACGCGAAAGCGUGGGGAGCGAACAGG